rnacentral:rRNA from 1 species
GACGAACGCUGGCGGCGUGCCUAAUACAUGCAAGUCGAGCGAAUCUUUAGGAGCUUGCUCCUAAAGGUUAGCGGCGGACGGGUGAGUAACACGUGGUCAACCUGCCUAUAAGACUGGGAUAACUUCGGGAAACCGGAGCUAAUACCGGAUAAUUCCUUUCCUCUCAUGAGGAAAGGCUGAAAGACGGUUUCGGCUGUCACUUAUAGAUGGGCCCGCGGCGCAUUAGCUAGUUGGUGAGGUAACGGCUCACCAAGGCAACGAUGCGUAGCCGACCUGAGAGGGUGAUCGGCCACACUGGGACUGAGACACGGCCCAGACUCCUACGGGAGGCAGCAGUAGGGAAUCUUCCGCAAUGGACGAAAGUCUGACGGAGCAACGCCGCGUGAGUGAUGAAGGUUUUCGGAUCGUAAAACUCUGUUGUUAGGGAAGAACAAGUACGAGAGUAACUGCUCGUACCUUGACGGUACCUAACCAGAAAGCCACGGCUAACUACGUGCCAGCCGCCGCAGUAAGAC